AACGCACCUUGCGCUCCUUGGUAUUCCGAGGAGCAUGCCUGUUUGAGUGUCAUGAAAUUCUCAACCUAACGGGUUCUUAACGGGACUUGCUUAGGCUUGGACUUGGAGGCUCUUGUCGGCUUGCUUUCGUCAAGUCGGCUCCUCUCAAAUGCAUUAGCUUGGUUCUUUGCGGAUCCGGCUCACGGUGUGAUAAUUGUCUACGCCGCGACCGUUGAAGCGUUUUAAUGGGACUAGCUUCUAACCGUCUCCUCGCGAGACAGCAUUCAUCGAACUCUGACCUCAAAUCAGGUAGGACUACCCGCUGAACUUAA
rnacentral:misc_RNA from 1 species